rnacentral:rRNA from 1 species
UGGCCUACGGGAGGCAGCAGUGAGGAAUAUUGGUCAAUGGGCGCAAGCCUGAACCAGCCAAGUCGCGUGAGGGAUGACGGUCCUAUGGAUUGUAAACCUCUUUUGUCGGGGAGCAAGGCCCGCCACGUGUGGCGGGAAGGAGAGUACCCGAAGAAAAAGCAUCGGCUAACUCCGUGCCAGCAGCCGCGGUAAUACGGAGGAUGCGAGCGUUAUCCGGAUUUAUUGGGUUUAAAGGGUGCGUAGGCGGUCCGGAAAGUCAGCGGUAAAAGCCCGGGGCUCAACCCCGGCGAGCCGUUGAAACUGUC